ACAGCAGUCGCCACGGUAAUACGUAGGUGGCAAGUGUUGUCCGGAAUUAUUGGGCGUAAAGGGCUCGCAGGCGGUUUCUUAAGUCUGAUGUGAAAGCCCCCGGCUCAACCGGGGAGGGUCAUUGGAAACUGGGAAACUAGAGUGCAGAAGAGGAGAGUGGAAUUCCACGUGUAGCGGUGAAAUGCGUAGAGAUGUGGAGGAACACCAGUGGCGAAGGCGGCUCUCUGGUCUGUAACUGACGCUGAGGAGCGAAAGCGUGGGGAGCGAACAGGAUUAGAUACCCCCGUAGUCCCUGUCUCUUAUAC
rnacentral:rRNA from 1 species